CAACUCCCUGAAGAGAGAAUGGACCAAGCUGUGUUUCUAGCUACACUGAAAUUCACUGUAAAGAACUUCAUCUUCAGUGAUGAUACUUGGAGGUUACACUGUCUGAAAAAGGGCCGCUGGGACCUGCACUCGGCAUGCUCCAGGAGAGUCAGCAGCUGCUUAAAUCAGAGAAGGCAUGUGACUGAUUGAAUCACCUCUCACAUUGAUUUAUGGACCUCCAAGGUCAUCUCUUUGUGGCUUGCAUGCUAGAAGUCAUGUGAAAGAGCAAAACUUAGCCUAUUUUUUUAAUUCUUUAUAAAGACUUUUCCUCGUGCCUUUCAUUCCUUUCACCUAUCACUCCUGAGCAGGAAUGUUGUUGAUCACAUGGAUAACACUGAGAGCAAAGUUCCACGAAGACUCUCAAGCACAGAGUUUCACCCUUGGUCUCCAGAUAAAACAAAACUGAUGAUAAAAAAAGAAAAUGCAUCCUUUCAAAAGAACUUAUUGGGAAGCCUUAGCGAAUGCUUUGGCUGACAGCCCCUGGGAACACAA